CCGUUCCUGAUACAGGCGCGUAUCAGUGCCAAAGUAUCAGGUUGAUACUUUUCGACCCACCUCUACUUCUACACUACUUUUAUAUUAACAUCCGGAUCCUGUUCGACUUGGUGUCGACUGUCGAUAUCUUCAGAAGUUUUGAGAUUCUGCAUCUGCUAUCGUCCUUCUAUCUGUCGGCGUAAUUCAUAUGAAUAACAAGAAUAAAGUAACUAUUGAAAUAUGAAACAUCUACAUUUUUGGAGCACCUCCUGUUAGUGUAAUAAAAGUCAGAAAAAUCUGAUUUUCUGAGUUAACUCUUCGCAGUCAUGAUGUUACUGGUGCGUUACUGGAGAUAAUUAUGUAAUAAUUCUCAUGCUGUAUCGUAGGUAGGUAUUUGUUUAUUUACACUAUUUUUGAGGUAGGAAAGGCUAUUUAUGUGUUCAGGGGAACUAUAUGACUUUACGAAAGUUGGCUAAUGAUAACAAAUAUAAUGGCGGAACAAAAGAAAAUAGUAAUAUUGGCAACAGCGAAAUCCAAGAUAGCACCAUGAGAGAAAAUGAAGAAUGGAAGCGAUGGCUGUUGUGCUACGAGGCGUGAAUUAAUAAACUGGAAUAACAUAUAUUUCGUGAGGGGACGAACUGGCCGGAGGCGAGGACUCCCGGGGACCCGCCUCGUCCUCCUCCCGGUGGACGGGCAGGGGCGCCACCGCGCCAGCGCCGGGCGACACCUGGUUGAGCGCGUACCCCGCCGGGAACACCAGCGCCUGCUCCAUCUGCACGCACCACACGCACCACACACCACGCUGCCUCACGCGGGUCUCUAGUACUCAACAGCUUCGGCAUCACAGGAAAUACAUUGAGGAAGUUACCAAGGACUAUCUUCAUUAUUUGUCUCUAUAGAAGCAUUAAGGUAUUGCUUGUAUUUGCCACCUGAUUAAAUGCUACAGAAGUGUUUGUUUAGCACUUCAGGGAACAUUUGUGACUAUAAAAACCUAAUUAUUUAUAUCCUUACGUAAAUCUAAAUGUUUUUGUUAUUAAUCAUUAUAAAUUUUUUUUUCUUGAAAACUUAAA